GUCUUUAUGUUUAAAUUUAUAAAGUCUGGCCUGCCCACUGAAUUUUAAAGGGCCGCGGUAUUUUGACCGUGCAAAGGUAGCAUAGUAAUUAGUCUUUUAAUUGGAGGCUUGUAUGAAUGGUUGAACAAGAAAUAAUUUGUCUUAAUUUAAAUAAUUGAAUUUAACUUUUAAGUAAAAAGGCUUAAAUACAUUAAAGUGACGAUAAGACCCUAUAAAACUUAAUAAUUCAAGUUAUAAAAAUGAAUUAGUUAUUUAAAAUUUUUUUAAUAAAUUUUAUUUUAUUGGGGCGAUAAAAAUAUAAAUAGUAACUGUUUUAAAGAUUUAAAUGAUUAUUGUCAGUAAAAUUAAAUGAUCCUUUUUUAAAGAUUAUAAGAUUAAGUUACUUUAGGGAUAACAGCGUAAUUUUCUUUAAAAGUUCUUAUUAACAAGAGAGAUUGCGACCUCGAUGUUGAAUUAAAAAUUCUUUAAGGUGUAGCAGCUUUAGUAGAAGGUCUGUUCGACCUUUAAAUUUUU
rnacentral:rRNA from 1 species